rnacentral:tRNA from 1 species
AAGGGAGACCUAAUUCGGGUAUAAGACGAAAAAAGAGUAGUCGGAACCAAGAAUCAAUCCCAAAAGGUCGGAACGAGGUAUGUGGCUUUCAAACUAGGUUCUGGGUUCACACAAGACCUGAAUCAGGAACAAGGGCUAUUAGCUCAGGUGGUUAGAGCGCACCCCUGAUAAGGGUGAGGUCCCUGGUUCGAGUCCAGGAUGGCCCACCUGCACAGGUGGCAAAAACAAAGAAGCGAGGAAUCAGCACCUUAUCUUAUCUAUAUAUAAGAGAGAAUGCUGGCUCUGAGUAAAGAGUCCAGAGGAACCUUGAAAACUGCAUAGAGCUAGGUGAAAAAGCCAAAAAAGAAGACCGCAA